AGAGUUUGAUCAUGGCUCAGAUUGAACGCUGGCGGCAUGCUUUACACAUGCAAGUCGAACGGUAACAUAAGAAAGCUUGCUUUCUUGAUGACGAGUGGCGAACGGGUGAGUAAUACAUCGGAACGUACCCUGUAGUGGGGGAUAACUACUCGAAAGAGUGGCUAAUACCGCAUACAACCUGAGGGUAAAAGUGGGGGACCGCAAGGCCUCACGCUAUAGGAGCGGCCGAUGGAAGAUUAGGUAGUUGGUGGGGUAAAGGCCUACCAAGCCGACGAUCUUUAGCGGGUCUGAGAGGACGAUCCGCCACACUGGGACUGAGACACGGCCCAGACUCCUACGGGAGGCAGCAGUGGGGAAUUUUGGACAAUGGGCGAAAGCCUGAUCCAGCAAUGCCGCGUGAGUGAAGAAGGCCUUCGGGUUGUAAAGCUCUUUUGUUUGGGAAGAAAUCCUUAAGGCUAAUAUCCUUGGGGGAUGACGGUACCAAAAGAAUAAGCACCGGCUAACUACGUG
rnacentral:rRNA from 1 species